CCUCACUUGGGCGAGUUGUGUAGCUCUAACAGGAUAGCUCCUAUUCACAGUAAAUAGGAGCUCGCCACCGUCCAGGGUUCUCUUCAAGUUGAAAUAACAACUAUACAGGCAACUUCAGAAGAAGAAAAGGUAAAGCGUUUCACUGAAAAAGCGGACAACAAAAUCUUUCAUCAUGUGAGGGAAACACCUGGCUUAAAAUCAAACUUGGCAGCGGCCGGGAUAUGAGCUGGCUUGUGAACGGCUCUUCAGCAGCCAAGCCGAGGGGAAAGUUAAAAAUAUUCUAAACACACAGAUAUGCAUGCAGUACAGAAGGGCAGCCACAAAACCUGCUCGUCAAGAAGCCUCCCCUUUCUCUUUUUUUCUACGGGGAGAAAGCGUUUCUGGUCCCCCUAGUUUCCGCCAGGGUGGGAAAGUGCCCCACAUUUGAGAGGGGACGAGACAGAAGGAACCUCCCGGAAAGGCUGCAGCGCGGCGGGGGCGUCAAAACGCAGCGCGGCGGUCUCCUGCAAAAAGCCGUUCUUACUGGAGCAUCUCGCUGGGACUGCAUCCGAGCCUCGGGUGGGUUGCGCGGUUCCUUUUCUAGUUGCCGUUCGUCCUCCUCCCACGUGGGAUUCUUUCCUUCCUCUGCUAGUUGAUUUCCCAACCGUGUUGCUUUUGCAAAGCCAGGAAGAAGAGGGGGGGAGGGAUCGGAAGGGAAGCACCGAACAACAAUCGCCGUCCUCCGGCUGGCUCCUACAGCUCAGCCCGCCCACCGUGGGGGGCUCUCGUUAGGUGCCGCUUCUGCCGGCCCGCUUCCCUGCACUGGGAAUCUCAGCGCCUGCACUCGAAGCUGCCCUCUGCCUGCGGGAGAGAGUAGCGCCCCCUGCACCCAGCCUCCGGAGCUAGCAGCCUUCCGCUCCCUCCGCCGGCUUGCCCGAAUUAUUAGCAGGGAUCGGGCGAGCGCAGCGGCGGUGGCAGUGACCUGCCGGUCGGCCCGCCCUCUCUGCACAGCGGAGGCGGGGCCUGAGCUGCCCGCGCCGCGGCUGCGAGAGCUGUAGCUGGAGGUGCUGGGGCGGAUGCCUUGCGAGAUGAAAGUCGCCGAACGCCCAGCUGCGAAAGGAAGAAGCCGAAUCUCCCAGUGCCACCCACCGCUUUCUUCUUCUUCGCUACACACGUGACUGUUCCUCAGGAGCACCUUCUCUCUCUGACCAUCUCAGCCAUUCUACGCCCCGCGGGACUGUUGCACCUUAAAGAACCUGUCUUCUUUACACCACAUUUUGUGUUUUUUAGGUGCAUCCAGAUUAACAUCUGAUGUGGUGAAGUCAUUCCAGGGUGAUUUUUUUGAAUGGGCGCCAUCAUCCAUGUGAAUACGGUGUCACACUGCAAAGAAAUCAUGAGCUUGCAGCUGACUCCCUCCGGCCCCUUUGCACCUUACAAAGAAAUUCCAGGUCCUUUGCCAAACUACAACAAAAUUACAAAAAUUCUCUUGGCGUUCUUUCAGAAAAUGUACAGAAGGAAAGAAAAAAUUUUCUACAACAGCCAAGAUCUUCAGGGCUCCUCAUGAUUAUAGCGGCAUUGCUGUAGCUGCUUGUUAAUUCAAAGGAUUAAGAAUGCUGAGUCAGCACUUUGGAUACUUGUGCUGGUGGGAGAUUCG